UACAGAGGUCCCAAGCGUUGUUCGGAUUCACUGGGCGUAAAGGGUGCGUAGGCGGUGGGGUAAGUCGGAUGUGAAAUCUCCGAGCUCAACUCGGAAAUGGCAUUGGAAACUACCCUGCUAGAGGGUCGGAGGGGGGACUGGAAUACUUGGUGUAGCAGUGAAAUGCGUAGAUAUCAAGUGGAACACCAGUGGCGAAGGCGAGUCCCUGGACGACUCCUGACACUGAGGCACGAAAGCUAGGGGAGCAAACAGG
rnacentral:rRNA from 1 species